UAACGCGUGGGUAACCGUGCCUCAUACAGGGGGAUAACAGUUAGAAAUAGACUGCUAAUACCGCAUGAGCGCACAGUGCUGCAUGGCACAGUGUGAAAAACUCCGGUGGUAUGAGAUGGACCCGCGUCUGAUUAGCUAGUUGGUGGGGUAACGGCCUACCAAGGCGACGAUCAGUAGCCGGCCUGAGAGGGUGAACGGCCACAUUGGGACUGAGACACGGCCCAA
rnacentral:rRNA from 1 species